CAUACCAUGCUGAAUAUACCGGUUCUCGUUAGAUCACCGAAGUCAAGCAUCAUUGGGCGCGGUCAGUACUUGGGUGGGUGACCACCUGGGAACACCGCGUGCCGCUG